UAGACGAUACUUUCAAGGAUCAUUUCUAUAGUUCGUUACUAGAGAAAUUGCUCUGAAUGUGUAGAGCAGCAGCAAUCACAAAGAGGAGGCGCAGCAUCCUCCUCUGAGCAUGUUGCUUCCCUUCAACUGCGCUUUGCCAUUACUGAUGGUUCUUCUCUUCCUCUGCGAGAGUAAGAGGGAGAGGAUGCAGUCUGAAUGGG
ensembl:snoRNA U3 Small nucleolar RNA U3